UAGGUGAACCUGCGGAAGGAUCAUUAAUGAAUUUGUCUCCGGACAUUAUUUCUUUAAACACUUGUGAACUUGAAUGUUUUUGCUUUGGCUAGUCUUUGUGACUGGCCAAAAGAUUUUAUAAACACCUUUUAUCAAGAAAUUUAUUUUGAAACUGAAUUAUUAAUUAUUCAAAACUUUCAACAACGGAUCUCUUGGUUCUCGCAUCGAUGAAGAACGCAGCGAAUUGCGAUAAGUAAUGUGAAUUGCAGAAUUUUGUGAAUCAUCGAAUCUUUGAACGCACAUUGCGCCCUCUGGUAUUCCAGAGGGCAUACCUGUUUGAGCGUCAUUUCAUUCUUAAAUCUAUGGAUUUAGUGUUGGACAAUUCUUCGAAAGAAGAUGGUCUGAAAUGAAUUUUGGCAGAGGCGACUAUAUAAGCUUUUACAACGUAUUAGGUUUUACCAUCUCGUUGGAAAUAUACGGUGAAUAUAGCAGCUUUGGCGUUAUAACUAAAACUUCAAAAGUUUGACCUCAAAUCAGGC
rnacentral:rRNA from 1 species